AGGUAAUAGGUGUUUUGACCAGGUAUAGGUAAUAGGUGUCUUGACCAGGUAAUGGGUAUAGGUGUUUUGACCAGGUAAUGGGUAUAGGUAAUAGGUGUUUUGACCCAGGUAUAGGUAAUAGGUGUUUUGACCAGGUAUAGGUAAUAGGUGUUUUGACCAGGUAUAGGUAAUAGGUGUUUUGACCAGGUAAUGGGUAUAGGUAAUGGGUGUUUUGACCAGGUAAUGGGUAUAGGUAAUGGGUGUUUUGACCAGGUAAUGGAUAUAGGU